UCCUCUUCCCUUCCUCUUUCCAACCCUCAAGUUAGUUUCUCUAAAUUUGUAGCCGAAUUUUCUCAAUUUCAUAUCUAAGAAACGGUGACCAUGGGUAUUCCGGCCAAUUUUCGGUGAAGUCUGCCUGAAUUGGACCGCAACCAAGAGAUUGGGGACGAGGAAGGUGAAUCAAGGUUGUUUCCAACCUGGGCCGAGAAGAAUGGAAGCCUUGGAAGGUUGUGGGUGAAACUAAGGUGAAGAGGGUUCUUCUAAAAAAUUAAGAUCAAAGAAGGAGUUCAAUUUAUCAAGGAUCAAGGUUUGGACUGCUAGACAGCAC